rnacentral:rRNA from 1 species
AACGAACGCUGGCGGCAGGCCCAACACAUGCAAGUCGAGCGAACCGCAAGGUUAGCGGCGGACGGGUUAGUAACGCGUGGGAACGUGCCCAAAGGUACGGAAUAGCCUCGGGAAACUGAGAGUAAUACCGUAUGUGCCCGAAAGGGGAAAGAUUUAUCGCCUUUGGAUCGGCCCGCGUUGGAUUAGGUAGUUGGUGGGGUAAUGGCCUACCAAGCCGACGAUCCAUAGCUGGUUUGAGAGGAUGAUCAGCAACACUGGGACUGAGACACGGCCCAGACUCCUACGGGAGGCAGCAGUGGGGAAUCUUAGACAAUGGGGGAAACCCUGAUCUAGCCAUGCCGCGUGAGCGAUGAAGGCCUUAGGGUUGUAAAGCUCUUUCACCGGGGAGGAUAAUGACGGUACCCGGAGAAGAAGCCCCGGCUAACUUCGUGCCAGCCGCCGCCGUAAGAC